AUGGAACAAGAGGAUCAAGCAACCCGUGACGGCAGUGCUAGCAAGGAUGGGGAAACACGACCAGGUGACAUAGUGGCAAGUAUAGUAGCGGGCAAGGGACAUCAAACAGUCGAGCAAGAGGGAGAUGAUGAAGAGGAAGAUAGCGAUGAAAAGGAAGAAGAUGAAGUUAGUACAGAAGAUGACGAGGAUGAAGAAGAUGAUGAUGAUGAUGUGGGAAAAGGUGGUGGCAAGGAAGAAGACAAGGAAGGGGAUGGGAAUGGGGAUGGCAAGGAUGAUGAGGAUAGCAAUGGAGGUAAUAGCAGUGGCCACGGUGAUGUUGGUGGGUGA
rnacentral:rRNA from 1 species